rnacentral:rRNA from 1 species
CGGUAAAAAGCUCGUAGUUGGAUUUCUGUUGAGGGUGACCGGUCCACACAAUGUGUGCGCAUCUGGUUCGGCCUCGGCAUCCUCUCGAGAGACGUUUCUGCGCUUGAUUGCGUGGUGCGGAACUCGGGACUUUUACUUUGAGGAAAUUAGAGUGUUCACGGCAGGCCAUCGCCAGAAUACAUUAGCAUGGAAUAAUACUAUAGGAUCUCGGUUCUAUUUUGUUGGUUUCUAGAGUUGAGAUAAUGGUUAAUAGGGACAAUUGGGGGCAUUCGUAUCAACACGUCAGAGGUGGAAUUCUUGGAUUGUGUUGCGACGAACUACUGCGAAAGCAUUUGCCAAGGAUGUUUUCAUUGAUCAAGAACGAAAGUAAGGGGAUCGAAGACGAUUAGACACCGUCGUAGUCUUUACCAUAAACUAUGCCAACUAGAGAUGGGGCAUCGUUCAUAUACGACUUGCUCCGCACCUUAUGAGAUAUCAAAGUCUUUGGGUUCCGGGGGGAGUAUGGUC